rnacentral:tRNA from 1 species
GGGCGGUUAGCUCAGCUGGCUAGAGCGACUCGUUUACACCGAGUAGGCCGGGGGUUCGAGUCCCUCACCGCCCACCA